CGGCAUGCUUUACACAUGCAAGUCGAACGGCAGCACGGGUGCUUGCACCUGGUGGCGAGUGGCGGACGGGUGAGUAAUACAUCGGAACGUAUCCAGAAGAGGGGGAUAACGCAUCGAAAGAUGUGCUAAUACCGCAUAUUCUCUGAGGAGGAAAGCAGGGGAUCGAAAGACCUUGCGCUUUGGGAGCGGCCGAUGUCUGAUUAGCUAGUUGGUGGGGUAAAGGCCUACCAAGGCGACGAUCAGUAGUUGGUCUGAGAGGACGACCAGCCACACUGGGACUGAGACACGGCCCAGACUCCUACGGGAGGCAGCAGUGGGGAAUUUUGGACAAUGGGCGCAAGCCUGAUCCAGCAAUGCCGCGUGAGUGAAGAAGGCCUUCGGGUUGUAAAGCUCUUUCAGUCGAGAAGAAAAAGCUGCAGUGAAUAACUGUAGUUCAUGACGGUAUCGACAGAAGAAGCACCGGCUAACUACGUG
rnacentral:rRNA from 1 species